rnacentral:rRNA from 1 species
UACGUAGGGUGCGAGCGUUAAUCGGAAUUACUGGGCGUAAAGUGUGCGCAGGUGGCUUCGCAAGUCGAGUGUGAAAUCCCCGGGCUUAACCUGGGAAUUGCGCUCGAAACUACGGAGCUGGAGUAUGGCAGAGGGAGGUGGAAUUCCACGUGUAGCGGUGAAAUGCGCAGAUAUCAGGAGGAACACCGGUGGCGAAGGCGGUUCUCUGGGCAUGACCUGACGCUGAGGAGCGAAAGUGUGGGGAGCGAACAGG